UUAGCAAGUCGGGUAAUCGCUUUAAUUGAAAAAUUUAAGAGGAAAGUCCGAACACCGUAGGGCAGCGAGCCGGAUAACAUCCGGGCGUGCGAUUUAACAAUCGGACGACGACAAGUGCAACAGAGAAGAGACCAGCCGAAAGGUGAUGGGUGAAACGACGCGGUAAGAGCGCGUCAGCGCGUUUGGUAACAGGCGCGGCUGGGUAAACUCCUCGCGGUGCAAGACCAAAUAGGGAAACGUUUUUUUUGAGCUGCCCGCUCAUUUGUCCGAAGCGAUUCGGACGACGUUUCCGGGUAGGUCGCUUGAGCUGUUCGGUAACGAGCAGCCUAGAUGAAUGAUUACCCUUCGCUUUAUAGAGCGGAGACAAAAUUCGGCUUACAGACCUGCUCAAUUU
rnacentral:RNase_P_RNA from 1 species